UCAUCACUGCAGGAUUCUGAGGAGGCAGGCAGGAUACAUGCGUGAUUCUCCUUCCCAUCUUUGCACAGAACCUAUACUCGUGCACUGCAUCUGCUUUCCUCUUGCUGAUGACAUGAUUCCUGUUUGAAUCUGUUGACAAGAUUCUGAAAGCUGAACAGAGAAUUCUGGCACUGCACUGGGUAGGAAAAAGCAUUUCAAGAAAUAGAUAAUAUCAAGGACAUCAGGACACCGGGAGUGGGAGAGAUUGGACUGGGAGACUCAGCAG
rnacentral:lncRNA from 1 species